GCUUGUCUCAAAGAUUAAGCCAUGCAUGUCUAAGAAUAAGCCCAUAGAACGGCGAAUCUGCGAAUGGCUCAUUACAUCAGUUAUUGUUUAUUUGAUGGUACACUAUGCCUUUUAGGCAGGGCUACUUGGAUAACCGUAGUAAUUCUAGAGCUAAUACAUGCACCAAGCCCUGACUUUGAAGGGGUGUAUUUAUUAGAUGGAAACCAAUGCGGGGCAACCCGGAAUAUGGUGAUUCAUAAUAACUUUCGGAUCGUUUACGAUGCAUCAUUCAAGUUUCUGCCCUAUCAGCUUUGGAUGGUAGGGUAUUGGCCUACCAUGGCUUUAACGGGUAACGGAGAAUUAGGGUUCGAUUCCGGAGAGGGAGCCUGAGAAAUGGCUACCACAUCCAAGGAAGGCAGCAGG
rnacentral:rRNA from 1 species